AGGUAAAUCUGGUCUUCCAACAGGAUCUGCGAGGAUUGAUGUUCUUGGCUACUCAUUGACCAUUCUAAGAGACAUAUCUGCCCAGAUCAGUAAGGCUGGACUCGAUGAUGAUUCAGUUGAUGUCACCAAUACUCUUUUGUCAGACGACCUUCUUGAAUUGCUUUUAUCCGCACUGGCAAGCCUUGGGCCUCCUGAACUUAUCAAGAAAGCCAUGAGACAGAAUAAGAAUCAAGAACUAGCUUCUUCAAAUUCCUCUAAACCUUGCCCUUACAGAGGAUUUCGGAGAGACAUUGUUGCAGUUAUUGGCAACUGUGCAUUUCAAAGAAAGAAUGUCCAGGAUGAGAUUAGGAGGAAGAAUGGAAUUCUUCUAAUGCUACAACAAUGUGUCACAGAUGUAGAUAACCCAUUUUUAAGGGAAUGGGCAAUAUGGUCCGUGAGGAACUUACUGGAAGGGAAUGCGGAAAAUCAACAAGCAGUGGCUGAAUUGGAGCUUCAAGGAUCUGUUGAUAUGCCCGAGUUUGCUGGACUUGGUCUAAGAGUGGAGGUAGAUCCAAAAACUCGACGGGCAAAGCUUGUAAAUGUUUAAUAAAGAUGGAAAAGCUUGACAAUGGAUGGUCAUCGCUGAACACAGUCAGAAAUGUCUUUUUUAGUGGCGGUACAGAAGAUUGGGAUUCUCUUUAGCUUAAUGAGCAAGGGAACUCUAGAAGUGGAGGCGUCUGAAACUUUGAUAUUUUAUUUAUUAAACGCUCCAUUUGUUUUGAAUUAGGAUGAGAACUGUUUCAUGAGACCUCAACUAAAGUUUCCAUUCUGGUAUAGUACGAGUAAAAUUGGGUAAAUGGUUUAUCGAAGUUUCCAUUUCGGUCUAUUUAGAGUAAAAUUGGGUAAAUAGAAAAGGGGUUGCAGUAAACAGAUGUGUUAGCAUCAUAAUGUAAUUUUCAAGAAAUUUAUAUGAAUAUUCCACGAGAAAAUAGGUAAUCACGGACAUCAUCUCGUUAUUAUUAUAUAAUCGGCAAUUCCCAAAAAUUAUAGUAGCAAAACCCUCAAUGAUUUAUCUCGUUAUUGUGUCUAUACAAAUAUACAAAGAACCGUAUUUAAACAUAAAUGAAUAAGAGUUAGCAUUUAGCAUUUUAAUAAUAGAUCUAACAGAAAGCAAUCCUACUUUUUUUUUUUUUUUUUUAUGAAAAUAGUGAAGAUAUUAGUUCGAUUAGCGAUCAUUUUUCGACAGAGCAAGCUUAUCUUUUGGGCAUUGUAUCGGAGAUCUUGAAUGAAAGACUGGAGGAGAUAACUGUUACUGUUGAUUUUGCAAUGUUUAUUUUUGGAAUAUUUAAGAGAUCUAUUGUGUUCAUGGACUCUACUGUCUCAGGAGGUAAAUCUGGUCUUCCAACAGGAUCUGCGAGGAUUGAUGUUCUUGGCUACUCAUUGACCAUUCUAAGAGACAUAUCUGCCCAGAUCAGUAAGGCUGGACUCGAUGAUGAUUCAGUUGAUGUCACCAAUACUCUUUUGUCAGACGACCUUCUUGAAUUGCUUUUAUCCGCACUGGCAAGCCUUGGGCCUCCUGAACUUAUCAAGAAAGCCAUGAGACAGAAUAAGAAUCAAGAACUAGCUUCUUCAAAUUCCUCUAAACCUUGCCCUUACAGAGGAUUUCGGAGAGACAUUGUUGCAGUUAUUGGCAACUGUGCAUUUCAAAGAAAGAAUGUCCAGGAUGAGAUUAGGAGGAAGAAUGGAAUUCUUCUAAUGCUACAACAAUGUGUCACAGAUGUAGAUAACCCAUUUUUAAGGGAAUGGGCAAUAUGGUCCGUGAGGAACUUACUGGAAGGGAAUGCGGAAAAUCAACAAGCAGUGGCUGAAUUGGAGCUUCAAGGAUCUGUUGAUAUGCCCGAGUUUGCUGGACUUGGUCUAAGAGUGGAGGUAGAUCCAAAAACUCGACGGGCAAAGCUUGUAAAUGUUUAAUAAAGAUGGAAAAGCUUGACAAUGGAUGGUCAUCGCUGAACACAGUCAGAAAUGUCUUUUUUAGUGGCGGUACAGAAGAUUGGGAUUCUCUUUAGCUUAAUGAGCAAGGGAACUCUAGAAGUGGAGGCGUCUGAAACUUUGAUAUUUUAUUUAUUAAACGCUCCAUUUGUUUUGAAUUAGGAUGAGAACUGUUUCAUGAGAC
rnacentral:lncRNA from 1 species